GAACCAGCCAAGUAGCGUGCAGGAUGACGGCCCUAUGGGUUGUAAACUGCUUUUAUGUGGGAAUAAAUUGGCGCACGCGUGCGCCAUUGCAUGUACCUCAUGAAUAAGGACCGGCUAAUUCCGUGCCAGCAGCCGCGGUAAUACGGAAGGUCCGGGCGUUAUCCGGAUUUAUUGGGUUUAAAGGGAGUGUAGGCGGUCUGUUAAGCGUGUUGUGAAAUUUAGGUGCUCAACAUUUAACUUGCAGCGCGAACUGUCAGACUUGAGUACACGCAGCGCAGGCGGAAUUCAUGGUGUAGCGGUGAAAUGCUUAGAUAUCAUGAGGAACUCCGAUCGCGAAGGCAGCCUGCGGGAGUGUUACUGACGCUUAAGCUCGAAGGUGCGGGUAUCGAACAGGAUUAGAUACCCUGGUAGUCCGCACAGUAAACGAUGGAUGCCCGCCGUUGGCGCCCUGCGCCUGCGGCCAAGCGAAAGCAUUAAGCAUCCCACCUGGGGAGUACGCCGGCAACGGUGAAACUCAAAGGAAUUGACGGGGGCCCGCACAAGCGGAGGAACAUGUGGUUUAAUUCGAUGAUACGCGAGGAACCUUACCCGGGCUUGAAUUGCAGUCGCUGCCCACAGAGACGUGGGCUUCCCUUCGGGGCGUCUGUGAAGGUGCUGCAUGGUUGUCGUCAGCUCGUGCCGUGAGGUGUCGGCUUAAGUGCCAUAACGAGCGCAACCCCCUUUCCCAGUUGCCAUCGGGUGAUGCCGGGCACUCUGGGGACACUGCCACCGCAAGGUGCGAGGAAGGUGGGGAUGACGUCAAAUCAGCACGGCCCUUACGUCCGGGGCUACACACGUGUUACAAUGGCCGGUACAGAGGGACGGUGCAAUGCAAGUUGCAUCCAAUCUUGAAAUCCGGUCCC
rnacentral:rRNA from 1 species